AAGAGUUGAAUGGGCAUGAAAAAGUUGCCACCAUGAUAUUCCAGAUAACUUUCUCUCCACCAGACACAUACCAAUUACUCUCUUUUUCUUACUAAUCAGAGAGGGAUGACACAAACUACCUUGGAUUUUUCUCCAACACCAACAAUCAUCAUGCUCUUCUCCUUUCCACUCUCUCUCACCCUUCUCUACCAUCAUCAUCAUCAUCAUCAUCAUCAUUACCUUCUCAAAGCCACCGCCACCUAUUCCUUUUUCAUAAACAUCAUCAUCAUCGUCAUCAUCUUCCACCGACCCCCUCUUGCAUUUCAUGAUCGUCUCCUUCUCCAUCACAUCCAGGAGCCAUUUUUACACACCAAACAAGGUCACAGACAAACGCAACAAGAUCCUACAACCCAUCAACUCCCGGGGAAUCAAGCAUCUUGGUCCGAUUCGUUUCACUUUUGGCUAUGAUUCAGUGUUACUAAGUAGCCCUUUUCCUUUGUAGGUAUCUAUAUAUUCAACUUUUCAUUGGCAAGACAAUUCGCUAAAUACUAGUUUCUUUUUCUAUUAUC